rnacentral:rRNA from 1 species
UACGUAGGGUGCAAGCGUUGUCCGGAAUUAUUGGGCGUAAAGAGCUCGUAGGCGGUCUGUUGCGUCGGCUGUGAAAACCCGGGGCUCAACUCCGGGCCUGCAGCCGAUACGGGCAGACUAGAGUUCGGCAGGGGAGACUGGAAUUCCUGGUGUAGCGGUGAAAUGCGCAGAUAUCAGGAGGAACACCGGUGGCGAAGGCGGUUCUCUGGGCAUUACCUGACGCUGAGGAGCGAAAGCGUGGGGAGCAAACAGG